AACAGGAUUAGAUACCCUGGUAGUCCACGCCGUAAACGAUGUCGACUUGGAGGUUGUGCCCUUGAGGCGUGGCUUCCGGAGCUAACGCGUUAAGUCGACCGCCUGGGGAGUACGGCCGCAAGGUUAAAACUCAAAUGAAUUGACGGGGGCCCGCACAAGCGGUGGAGCAUGUGGUUUAAUUCGAUGCAACGCGAAGAACCUUACCUGGUCUUGACAUCCACGGAAGUUUUCAGAGAUGAGAAUGUGCCUUCGGGAACCGUGAGACAGGUGCUGCAUGGCUGUCGUCAGCUCGUGUUGUGAAAUGUUGGGUUAAGUCCCGCAACGAGCGCAACCCUUAUCCUUUGUUGCCAGCGGUCCGGCCGGGAACUCAAAGGAGACUGCCAGUGAUAAACUGGAGGAAGGUGGGGAUGACGUCAAGUCAUCAUGGCCCUUACGACCAGGGCUACACACGUGCUACAAUGGCGCAUACAAAGAGAAGCGACCUCGCGAGAGCAAGCGGACCUCAUAAAGUGCGUCGUAGUCCGGAUUGGAGUCUGCAACUCGACCCCAUGAAGUCGGAAUCGCUAGUAAUCGUGGAUCAGAAUGCCACGGUGAAUACGUUCCCGGGCCUUGUACACACCGCCCGUCACACCAUGGGAGUGGGUUGCAAAAGAAGUAGGUAGCUUAACCUUCGGGAGGGCGCUUACCACUUUGUGAUUCAUGACUGGGGUGAAGUCGUAACAAGGUAACC
rnacentral:rRNA from 1 species